rnacentral:tRNA from 1 species
UCCUCGAUAGCUCAACGGUAGAGUACGCGGCUGUUAACCGCGGUGUUGCUGGUUCGAAUCCAGCUCGGGGAGCCA